rnacentral:tRNA from 1 species
GUCUCUGUGGCGCAAUUGGUUAGCGCGUUAGACUGUUAAUCUAAAGGUUGGUGGUUCGAGCCCACCCAGGGCUG